AAUCAACGCUGGCGGCGUGCCUCAGACAUGCAAGUCGAACGAUUAAACUUUCCUUCGGGAAAGAUAUAAAGUGGCGCACGGGUGAGUAACACGUAGGUAAUGUACCUUUGGGUGGGGAAUAACCAUCGGAAACGAUGGCUAAUACCGCAUAAUGCAGCGGCAUCGCAAGAUGACAGUUGUUAAAGAUUUAUCGCCUAAAGAGCAGCCUGCGGCAGAUUAGGUAGNGGUAAGGUAAUGGCUUACCAAGCCUGCGAUCUGUAACCGACCUGAGAGGGUGGUCGGUCACACUGACACUGAAUAACGGGUCAGACUCCUACGGGAGGCAGCAGUCGGGAAUUUUGGGCAAUGGGCGAAAGCCUGACCCAGCAACGCCGCGUGAAGGACGAAGUCUUUCGGGAUGU
rnacentral:rRNA from 1 species